CAAAACUGGCAAUUACUUUUGC
rnacentral:miRNA from 2 species